UACGGAGGAUGCAAGCGUUAUCCGGAAUUAUUGGGCGUAAAGGGUCCGCAGGUGGCUUAGUAAGUCUGCUGUCAAAGCGCGGAGCUUAACUUCGUAAAGGCGGUGGAAACUAGCAAGCUAGAGUACGGUAGGGGCGGAGGGAAUUCUCGGUGGAGCGGUGAAAUGCGUAGAGAUCGGUAGGAACACCAGUGGCGAAGGCGGUCUCCUGGAGCUAUCUUGACGCUG
rnacentral:rRNA from 1 species